GCGGACGUAGCUACUUAUAAAAUUGGAAAGAUACAGAUAAGAUUAGCAUGGCCCAACCGCAAGGAUCACACGCACAAUUCGAGAAAAUAGUCCAUAGUUC
rnacentral:snRNA from 1 species